AUUGAACGCUGGCGGAAUGCUUUACACAUGCAAGUCGAGCGGCAGCGCGGGGCAACCUGGCGGCGAGCGGCGAACGGGUGAGUAAUGCAUCGGAACAUGUCCAUGUCGUGGGGGAUAGCCCGGCGAAAGCCGGAUUAAUACCGCAUACGCCCGAGAGGGGAAAGUGGGGGACUCGCAAGGGCCUCACGCGAUUGGGUUGGCCGAUGUCCGAUUAGCUAGUUGGCGGGGUAAGAGCCCACCAAGGCGAUGAUCGGUAGCUGGUCUGAGAGGAUGAUCAGCCACACUGGGACUGAGACACGGCCCAGACUCCUACGGGAGGCAGCAGU
rnacentral:rRNA from 1 species